rnacentral:misc_RNA from 1 species
CUUCGGCGGAGGCUUUCAGCUUGUCGGCGACCAGGCGAUCGAGCAGCGCAGGAUCCUGCAGCCAGCCGCCGUCGUCAUCCUGGAAGAGAUCGCGCAGCACGCAGCCGCCGUUGGUUUCAUAGGCAUCGAUGCCGACGAAUACGGCCCGCUUGUCGGAUGCGCGGACGGCGGUCUCGGUCAGCAUGCGCCGGAUCUGGUAGGGUUCCCUCUGCCAGCUAUUGCGAACCGACUCCCAGACCUGCUCCUGACGCGCAU